UUCGUCACGUGGGUGUCCCGUCGUUAUGGCGGCCGUUGGGAAGCCAGUGCUACUCGGGCUUCGAGACGCCGCAGUGCGCGGCCGCCCUAAGGGGCCCGGCGCCUGGACCGCGAGCAAGCUGGGCGGCGUUCCGGACGCCCUGCCCGCCGUGGCAGCGCCGAGGCCAGUGUGUGAACUUUGCCGGCAGCCGCUGGUGCUGGUCGUGCAGGUGUACUGCCCGCUGGAAGGCUCCCCGUUUCAUCGGCUUGUGCACGUGUUCGCUUGCCCCCGCCCCGGGUGCGGUAGCGGCGGGGCGCGCAGUUGGAAGGUGUUCCGCUCCCAGUGCCUGCAGAUGCGGGAGACAGAGACGCAGGACGCUCAGAAAGAGGAAAAUGGCCUCACAGCUGAGAACUGGUGUGAAGGUGCAGAUGACUGGGGAAGUGACAGUGAGGAGGCACCUUCAUCGCAGCUUACCUUGGAUUUUGGAAAUGAUUCCAGCAGCGCCAAAGAGAAAGACUGGACUGCUCAGCUCCAAGACCUCUGCCUGCAGGAUGCUGUCCGCGGUGCUGCUCCUCCUGUGCCCCCUGGGGAAGGGGUGGCCUUGCCUCCUGGGCUGCCGCAGUUCCCGCCCUACUACAUCUGUGUGGUAGAUGAGGAUGAUUACAGGGACUCUUUCAGUCUGGAUCAUGCUCACAGCCUUCUGAGGGACUAUCAGCAGAGGGAAGGAAUUGAUAUGAAACAGUUGCUUUCCCCAAGUCUUUCUGGUGAUGGUGAUGAAAAAUACGAGAAGACCGUAAUUAAAAGUGGAGAUAAGGUGUUUUACAAAUUCAUGAAGAGAAUUGCUGUUUGUCAGGAGCAGAUUUUGAGGUAUUCCUGGAGUGGAGAACCACUUUUUUUGACCUGCCCUACAUCAGAAGUCACUGAGCCCCCAGCCUGUAGCCACUGUGGCGUCCGAAGGAUAUUUGAGUUUCAGCUUAUGCCAGCACUGGUCAGCAUGCUUAGAAGUGCUAAUUUAGAGUUUUUUAAAGAAAAAUAAAAAGUUUUUAUAAGAAAAGUAAUACGUGUUGUGGUGUAAGAUUCAAGGAGUACAGAAGUAUAUGCAGUGAGAAGUAAAGGCCUUCCCAAUGUCAUUUACUAGAGGGAACUUUUUUUUUCCAUGGCCUUUCUGUGGAAUUUGGAACCAUUCUAAUAUACACAUGUGAGAAGAGUUGCUGGCCUCAAAAUCAUCAGACUCCCAUGGAAGAAUUUUGUAUCAUACAAGAAGAUCCAGAUGAAUUAUUAUUUAAGUAGCGUAUUUCCUUUUAUUUAUAGAAAUUAAAACACAUUUUAAUGUUUAAA